AAUGCAAGUCGUGCGAGAAAGUCACCUUCGGGUGAUGAGUAGAGCGGCGCACGGGUGAGUAACGCGUGGGCAAUCUACCUACGGGCCUGGGAUAACUCCGGGAAACUGGAGCUAAUACCAGAUAAGACCACGAUGUCCUCGGACUUUGCGGUAAAAGGUGGCCUCUUCCUGAAAGCUAUCGCCUGUUGAUGAGCCCGCGUCCCAUUAGCUUGUUGGUGAGGUAAAGGCUCACCAAGGCUUCGAUGGGUAGCUGGUCUGAGAGGAUGAUCAGCCACACUGGAACUGAGACACGGUCCAGACUCCUACGGGAGGCAGCAGUCGGGAAUCUUGGGCAAUGGGCGAAAGCCUGACCCAGCAACGCCGCGUGAGGGAUGAAGGCCUUCGGGUCGUAAACCUCUGUCGGGAGGGAAGAAUGACACGGGACGAAUAAUCUCGGGUCUUGACGGUACCUCCAAAGGAAGCGCCGGCUAACUCCGUGCCAGCAGCCGCGGUAAUACGGAGGGCGCAAGCGUUGUUCGGAAUCAUUGGGCGUAAAGCGAGUGUAGGUGGUUUGGUAAGUCGGAUGUGAAAUCCCAGGGCCCAACCCUGGAACUGCAUUCGAAACUGCUGAGCUAGAGUCCCGGAGAGGAUGGCGGAAUUCCCGGUGUAGA
rnacentral:rRNA from 1 species